AGCGUCAAAAGGGCAUCCGGGGGAUGUCUUGGCGGUAAGAGGCGAUGAAGGACGUGGCACUCUGCGAUAAGCACGGGGGAGGCGAGAGCACCCUUUGAUCCCGUGAUUUCCGAAUGGGGAAACCCAUCUCCGAGA
rnacentral:rRNA from 1 species